AAACAGUGGUACAGGCCAGAGCUCAUUAGAAUAAUCACAAAUGAAUCAAAUAUGGGACAUAUUUCCCUCAUUCCAAUAACAGCCUAACUGCUUCCUCCGGAAUAAAUUAUUCCUCGUUCAAAAACCUCAUCCUAAAUAAUUUAAAAUUUACUGCAGGUUGCUUUAAUAUUAUGUCUACUCACAAGGCAUUGUGCUGAGGCUGGCAGGAGUCAGUGGCGAACCGUUUAAACCUUGGGGUGGACUACCCUCUCUUCCCAGGAGAGUUUAUUGCCCAACAAUGCAUAAUCUAUUAGUCGCUCCUCGCGGGGGAUCCAGAAAGUGACAUCUUGACUUGAACCAGCACGCAGAUCGGAAAGCCACUUCAAAGGAAACCUUGUAGAGAAGAAGAGCAACUUUCUAAUUCCUGUCAAACUAAGAGGCGGAACCAAGCCCAGAAGUAGCCUCAAGGCCUGGAGAGAGCAGAGCAGAGAGCCGACUCCACACUCCAGCCAAGGCUCAAGAAAGGCUUUGCUUCUGGAGGCGGCAUUGUUCCUCCAUCCGCUCAGCCUCCGCGUCUCCCCUCCGCGGACUCUCAGAAUCACUGCCUUUCUCGGGUACCUCUCCGCCGACCUCCGGGAUCUGGGUGCCUGGGUCCCAAGGCGCACCCAAGCAGGCUCACUGCAGAGGCUGGGGCGCCGCUCGGAAGACUAGGAGCCUCCGCACGAGUCCGCCCCGACCAGGGCAGCGCGCAGCGCACACUCAGUGUCUCACUCCUCUCGGCUUCCCUGGCUCCCACGGACUCGGUUGGCCUCUCACCACCCACUCGGGUUCGCCUUUCCUGCCUUGGCUUCCCACACCAGCUCCGCACCGCCGCCACAGCCGCGUCCCGACGCUCCGAACCCUAGCAGGCCGGGAUGAAGGGAUGCCAGGGUCAGGGAUGCACCCGAAGGAGAAGAGAGGCUAAGGCGAGCCGGGGCAGGUGGGGAGUCGCGGGCUGCGGGAGAGGGCGUGUGCGAGCGAGCCCCCCGAGAAAGAUGCAUGUACUCGGCCACCCCGCUGGAAGAAGGACCGAGGGGGCAGGAUGCAACGUGGAGAACGCCCACCGCGAGGGUGCGCAAAACCGGCGAUUUGCAAAGUGCCAGGGCCAGACAGGCAGAGGGGGAGGAAGGAGGCUGGCUGAAGACCAGGAACAGAGAGAAGAGCCCACUUCUCCAUCAAAAGGUCUGUUCGGUUAACGCAUCCCCAGAGCAGGAGUUAAUCGAGGACUGGAUGCAGUGUAAAAGGUGGGUUUUAAAAAACUCGCUGGCCGCGUAGGUCUUCUUAUGCUAGACUUAGCUCCCUCUCUCUCAACUCUGGGGAUUUGCCCUCCCUGUGACACAACUGGAAUUUACAGGAGCUGAAGCCCACUGUCCUCCUUGCUGUUUAUCUGCAUUUUGGAGAUUCUAUGAAACCUAGUAUUGAAGAAACCACCCAGCUCAUUAAAGUUCAUUAAUUUUUAUUGUUUUUAUUUUCAUCAGAAGAUAGUAGUGGAGACUUAACACCAAGAUGUGUUUAAAACAUUGAUCUGAUCGACAUAGCAUUUUGUUGUAGUUGUUGUUGUUGUUGUUUUUGUUACUGUUGUUGUAUAAAGGACAAAAUGUAUUUUAAACCGCUAAAAGACAGAGGCAGGUACUGGGAAACUCAAUCAAGUGGGGGAAUACAAGACACAUUUAAACUGUAAUGGACUAUCACAUCUUUAACACAGUCACCCUCCCCAGCACCCGAUCCCUCCUCCUGGGCCCCGGGGAUUUUGGAAAAGGGUGGAGCAAGGUAGAGAACAGGGAUGGGGUAGGGUUGGUGGAAAAGGAUCAAAAGAAUGUGAAUAAUGGUCUCUGUGCUCAUCAGCUCUGGAACAUUUCGCUGUGUUGAGGAGAAGAAGAUGAAAACCAAGCUUUGAGACGCACGUAAAUGUAUCAUAAGCUACCCGACCGAUAUAUAAACAUAUAUAGGUUCUUUGCAUGUAAAUCCAAAAGAAGAGCACCCCAGAAGCCUCUGGAGGAGGGAGGGGGCUGGAGCAGCAAAACUUGGCAGAGCAAAUGUAUCCAAGGAUUUCGUGCCAGAAUUCCUGAGAAGCUUUGGAGGAAGAGGAAGAAAAAGAAAAAUAUGAAAUUAUCCCUAAACACACACUUGAAACUGGAGACGCCUAAAGGAGAGUAGAAACGGAGAAGAUGAGGUUUUUCUGGGAACCACGGAUCCGUCAGCCAAAUGAGCAAUCGCCACAGAAAAUCCUAGGCGGAGCGGUAGCUCCAGAUGGGUCCCCUGCUCGCGUCCCCGCCGCUGCCGCUGCUACCUGUAGACAGGCACACACACACACACACACACGCACACUCACGCGCGCACACACACAUCAGCCUCUGCUGCGCGCGCUCUCUCCCUCUCUUGGCCAUACGCUGGGAGCUGGAGUCUCAACACAACUAGAUCUACCCUCCUGCCGGGCGGUCCUGCUCACCAGCUCCGGCUCACUACUCCUGACAGCCUUGUAGCACAGCAUCACUUCCCCCAGGUCGGGGGGGGGGGGGGGAGCCUCCACAGCAGCCGCCUAGGUGCUGGUGGCGGCCCCCUCCCUUUACUAAGUUCCGCCUUCUCUGGUCCCUCCAACCCGCGGUAGCCCGAACACCCCGCAGCGCCCACGGCGCCAGCAACGUCCGAGGUUGCAGGAAGGGUGAAGGGCCCUGGGCGUCACUCGUGACGUCUUCUAAGCCUCUUGGAGCGGCAACUAAAUGCGGGUUGGCAAGGUGGAGGUGGCGGUGGCGGUGGCGGUGGCGGGCCACCUGCAAGAAGCCUCCUGCAAGCUGAGUUUCUUGGUCCUUGGUGCCUUGGUGCUGUGUUUCAGGGGCCUGGGAUUGGUGAGAGGGGAGACUGGACCUGGGGGAAACAGCAUACCACUGAGUAUCGCAGGAUCUCACCCAGACCAGCAAACUCCCCUCAAAUUCCCUUUAAGUAGGAGCAGGCUGGUCCCUGAACUGGUAGGAGCAUUAUAAAUGUCUAGUACUAUUAGUCUCUCCUCUCCAGCUGUGCCCACAUUCUUAACUGCUGGAGAGUCAACGUUUAAAAAUCCACCACAGUAAUCAUUAUUGGCUUUUGUGACUUGUGAAGGGUGUGAUGCCUAGCAGUGCACUCUUGCACCCAGUCACAACCUACUAGCCUCUGUGAUCUCUUUGAAAGAGAAGAGAGAAGCUGAGACCCACUGAAAUAAUUGAUGACCACCUGUAACAAUCUUAACCAAAAGGAGAAUGAGGAGUUGCUCUGAGAAACCAGAGACACACAAGCUACAGCUCUCUUUUCUAUCUUGGGGUUCGUCUCAUUCGUCUUAGUCUAAGUCUCUAAAAUUCAGAGGAAUGGGUUACCCCAAAUAGCAACCCAAUGAAGGCGAUUGUCCUAACAGAUUUAAGGUAAUUGUUGCUAUUUGUUAAUUAAUACUAACCAAUAGGAACUGUGAGAUUCUGUCACAGUCAUGCUGGUUUUCAGAACAACCUUGAUCAUGACAUAUUUUCCCCACUUGGAAGGAUCCUGAAGGCACUUUUCCAUAGUUUUGCGACUUAGUACAUCUUUUUUGUUUAUUUGGUUUUGUUUUGGUUUUGGUUGUUUUCCUUUCAAGGAAGUAACCUAUAGGUAUGCCUAGGACAAUAAGGCUUCACUCUGAAUCAAGCCUGGGACACUUGGCUACUGCUCUUCCUUCUCUAGUCUUGCUAAUUCAACUUGAAACCUUCAAAAUUUCUAUGCAGCUUUCCAGAAAGUUGAAAACAAGUAAGUGUUCUCAUAUCAGCAACACUAUUUCAUCGAAUCUUUAACUUCCAGGAGAUAGCACACUUAAAAUAUUAUAAUAUGUAGGGCAUAUGGUACAUACCUUUAAUUUAAUUGAAUCAGUUCAGUCCUAGCAUUCAAGAGGCAGAGGCAAGAGGACCUCUGAGUUCAAGGCCAGCCUGGCUAAAACUAAUGAGGAAGAAGCCAUUUUAAAAGAAACAAACAAAGGUAGCAUCAUGAGAGAGGCUAUCAUAGUAAUUACAACAUUAAGCUUUUAAACAAGAAGCAAAGACAAUUCAGUAAAGAUGCCACUUGUAACUUCCAUAAGCUUCUGUGUAAUCUGCUGUCUCCUCAUCCCGUGGCCACCCUUUGCAGCUGUCCUGCUAAGCUCUAAACGUAGUAAUUGAACAUUGCUUAUUUCCAAUAUUCUAUAUCAAUAAGAUGACAUUACUUUUAGAUAAGUCCUAUUGUAGCUUUACAUUAUUCUUUGUGAGAACGAAAUCUAUACACUGAACAUUAUAAUCUCAUUUUCAUGAGUUACUUAAAAGAAAAGCUCAAGAAGGUUAACAAAACAGACGUGCCAGACAGGCAACAUUUGUCACCGUCUGUGUGUGCCAUGAACCUGUGAUGGAUAAGGCUGUCUAGUUGGAGCUAUAAUCAUUUUAGAGACAGGCUUCUGGGCACCCUGGUCAAGGACUAUACUUGUUAGUUUUUUUCUUUUAUUUUUACUGUGACUUUAUCUGUCUAUCUCUCUCUCCCUCCUCCUCCUUCCCCUGUGUGUGUUGGAGGGGUGUGUGUGUGAAAGAAUGGGGUGUGGGAGGGUCCCUGGGGACAUCAGAAGAAAGCAUUGGAUAUCCUGGAGCUGGAAUUACAAGUAGUUGUGAACUUUCUAAACGGAGGUUCUCUGGAUGAAAAGCUAGUGCUUGUCUGAGAACUUGUCUUGGCUAGGGGUGGUAGAAGUCACUACUCCCUAGCUGGGGAUUCUGGAAAUAACUAAGCAAGUUCUGCAUGCCUUCCCCUCUUUGCUUCCUAACUGGAGAUGCACUAGGCCUAGUUCCCCCAAACUGCUGCCUUUGUGACUUUCUACCUCUGUGGACUGUAUUCAGGGACUGUAAGCAAAAGUAAACCUCUUCUCGCUUAUGCUACUUCUGCGACAGUAUUUUGUCACAGCAACAAGAAAUUAAGACACAUUCAUAAGAGCCGAACUUCUAUUGAUCAGUUUUUUUCCACAUCCCCCACUAUAGCUCUCAAGGAAAUAAGCCCACCCAUGUCAUUUGGUGCCGAAGCCACUAACCUCACAUUCCACUUCUGCAAAACUGGAAUACUACUAGCACCUGCCUGGUGGUAUUGCUGUGUUUAUCAUAACAAUGCACAUAAACUUGGAACACUAAGGAUAUGUGUUUUCAGGGGUUCUAAUUUAGCAUCGUUAUGAUGUCUUUUCUCUUUUGACUAAAAUACCAAUACACAGAAGGGCAUUUGUUUUUCGUGUUGAAAAUCAGUCAUACUACUUGAGUGCAGUAUGACUUCAUGGACAAGUCAAUAGUGAUUUGAGCAUGAUUUCCUAGGCUAUGCCUUCCUUUAUUCUCUUCUCCUUUUCUUUUCUUUUCUUUUCUUUUCUUUCCCUUUCUUUUCUUCUUUUCUUUUCUUUUCUUUUUUUUCCUUCCUUUCUUUCUUUUUUAUUUUGUGAUAAGGCAUUAAGUAUCACACACUGGCCACCAACUCACUAUGUAACCAAGAAUGGUCUGGAAUUUCUCACCCUUUAUUCUCUGACUCCCCAGACAUUACAGGUAUGUGUCACCACAGUCAUUACUGUUCUUUUACCGCUUAAGUUUAGCACGGAGAGACAUAUUGGACACAAUUAUAAUCUAGAAAGUACUGAUCAUUAAAGGUCAUGUGGCCUUCUGGGUUGUGAAGUUAAUGGUGCUCAAAUACAAAGUCUGUCAUUAAGUCAGAGGCUGUCUGCAAGUCUCAGUAAAGUAAAAACCACACAAAUUCUCUGUAAAAUUUGCACAAACACAUCUGCUCACUUGCAGAUUUGGGAGGAAGUCUUGGAAUAAAAU
rnacentral:lncRNA from 1 species